rnacentral:rRNA from 1 species
GUGCAUGGGCCGUUCUUAGUUCGUGGAGUGAUCUGUCUGCUUAAUUGCGUUUCAAAAUUUAAACCUGAGCGACAAGGUGCUGCUAUCGAAACUGUCUUUGAGUGUGAACUAUAAGUCUUUUGACUUAUGACCAUCACUCUAGACGUUUAUGUUUUGGUGUUGGCCCUUGAUGCUCAUUUGAACGCAACGGACGUGAUUGCAACCCCUUGUUGAGAUUUAUCCGAUCUCUACGUUCACUGAACCACACUCUUUAGCGAGAGCAGUGGGGAUGUGGAUAAACUCGGGGGACUGCUGACUAUAAACUUUUCUCAAACCAGAGGAAGGUUGCGGCAAUAACAGGUCUGUGAUGCCCUCAGAUGUUCCGGGCUGCACACGUGCUACAUUUAGUAGCGCAGUGUGCACAUUAAUAGAGUGAUAGGUUCCGUGGUUUGUACAUUUUAAGGGCUCGUCCUAGUAACCAAAGCUCCACGGGACAUAUCAACCUUCCCCUUACAGGGCGGGUAACCUCUUCGAAGUGCUGGCAUGAUUUCCCUAGUUUUGGCAUUUGAAUCCUUGUCGCAGCAGCCCUGAGACGUAGUGAA